GAAGGUAUAGCUCAGUGGUAGAUCACAUGCUUAACACAUUCGAGGUCCUGGGUUCAAUCCCCACUACCUCCA
rnacentral:tRNA from 1 species